rnacentral:rRNA from 1 species
AUGCCAAGGGCGUGGAGUGGGGGGUUCACAUGCAGAUGCAUAUCAUCAGCAACCACUGAGACCUCGUUCAACCUCAAGAUGCUAGCGUCCUGCCUCCAUUUCAAGUUGUUCGCCACGGUCGCUGCCUCAUGUCAGGUAUUGCGCGCAGGUAAUAUGGUGAGGACACAAAUUUGGGUGUCCAGCUCCUUGCCUGCAUGUGCAAGGAAUUCAGAACAUGCAGUGCAACAGAUGAAGCCAACGCGGACGAUGAUUAACUUCUCCGACCUUAUGGAGGAGCUUUGGAAGUUUGUCAGGGCGGAGAGUAGAAGUUUGCCAAAAUCAUGCUGCGCAUUCUUUGCGUGUAUCCAAAAUCAGGUCUUCCAUUUGUCCAACUCAAAGUGCAAGCGCUAUUUCCACAACCAUCUCAAGCCUGCCAAGCUUAUAUGGACUGCCAUGUACAUGAAGCAGCACAAGAACGUACAUGGAUAUUCGUGUUGA